rnacentral:rRNA from 1 species
CCUACGGGUGGCUGCAGUAGGGAAUCUUCCACAAUGGGCGAAAGCCUGAUGGAGCAACGCCGCGUGGGUGAAGAAGGUCUUCGGAUCGUAAAACCCUGUUGUUAGAGAAGAAAGUGCGUGAGAGUAACUGUUCACGUUUCGACGGUAUCUAACCAGAAAGCCACGGCUAACUACGUGCCAGCAGCCGCGGUAAGACGUAGGUGGCAAGCGUUAUCCGGAUUUAUUGGGCGUCAAGGUAACGCAGGCGGUCUUUUAAGUCUGAUGGGAAAGCCUUCGGCAUAACCGGAGUAGUGCAUUGGAAACGGUGGGACUGGAGUGCAGAAGAGGAGAGUGGAACUCCUGUUGUAGCGGUGAAAUGCGUAGAUAUAUGGAAGAACACCAGUGGCGAAAGCGGCUCUCUGGUCUGUAACUGACGCUGAGGUUCGAAAGCGUGGGUAGCAAACAGGAUUAGAUACCCGUGUAGUC